GCUGACACAUCCCAGCCAAUCUCCAGCAGACCCUCCCUCCCAGACCCUCCUACUUCCUGGACAGCAUCCAUGUUGAAGCUGCCUUCAACAUGGAUGCUGUCCAGGAGGUGGGAGGGUCUGGGAGGGAGGGUCUGCCGGAGAUUGGCAGGGAUGUGUCAG